GACGGAGGGUGCUAGCGUUGUUCGGAUUUACUGGGCGUAAAGGGCGCGUAGGCGGCCCUGUCAGUCGGGUGUGAAAUCCCCGGGCUCAACCUGGGAACUGCAUCCGAAACUGCCUUGCUAGAGUAUGGGAGAGGGAAGUGGAAUUUCCGGUGUAGCGGUGAAAUGCGUAGAUAUCGGAAGGAACAUCAGUGGCGAAGGCGACUUCCUGGACCAAUACUGACGCUCAGGUGCGAAAGCGUGGGGAGCAAACAGG
rnacentral:rRNA from 1 species